rnacentral:lncRNA from 1 species
ACUCAUGUUUGAGCGAAGAAUUGAAGAAAGACACAAAAAGGACGAAAAAUGGAACAAUCUAAAGUAGUGGACUAAGUUGGACGUUGGAGAUCAAAUUUUGCACAUUAAAAGAAUUGAGGACUUGAAGAAAAAUAAUCUAUUACGUGGGCCUCAAUUGGACUUGUCCUGGAAUUCAAAUUUAAUAUUAUUUUGGACCCCUAAUUGGGCUACAAUAAGGGUUUACUUGUUGAGGUAUAUAUAUACAAACACAUG